rnacentral:rRNA from 1 species
GAAUUCGCCCUUAGAGUUUGAUCCUGGCUCAGGAUGAACGCUGGCGGCGUGCUUAACACAUGCAAGUCGAGCGAGAAAAGUUCUUCGGAGCUUUUCUAGCGGCGGACGGGUGAGUAACACGUGGGCAACCUACCUCAUAGAGGGGAAUAGCCUCCCGAAAGGGAGAUUAAUACCGCAUAACAUUAUUGAAAGGCAUCUUUUAAUAAUCAAAGGAGCAAUCCGCUAUGAGAUGGGCCCGCGGCGCAUUAGCUAGUUGGUGAGGUAACGGCUCACCAAGGCGACGAUGCGUAGCCGACCUGAGAGGGUGAUCGGCCACAUUGGAACUGAGACACGGUCCAGACUCCUACGGGAGGCAGCAGUGGGGAAUAUUGCACAAUGGGGGAAACCCUGAUGCAGCAACGCCGCGUGAGUGAUGAAGGUCUUCGGAUUGUAAAGCUCUGUCUUUAGGGACGAUAAUGACGGUACCUAAGGAGGAAGCCACGGCUAACUACGUGCCAGCAGCCGCGGUAAUACGUAGGUGGCAAGCGUUAUCCGGAUUUACUGGGCGUAAAGGGAGCGUAGGCGGAUACUUAAGUGGGAUGUGAAAUACCCGAGCUUAACUUGGGAGCUGCAUUCCAAACUGGGUAUCUAGAGUGCAGGAGAGGAGAAUGGAAUUCCUAGUGUAGCGGUGAAAUGCGUAGAGAUUAGGAAGAACACCAGUGGCGAAGGCGAUUCUCUGGACUGUAACUGACGCUGAGGCUCGAAAGCGUGGGGAGCAAACAGGAUUAGAUACCCUGGUAGUCCACGCCGUAAACGACGAAAACGAGGUGUAGGGGCCCCCAAGCCUCUGUGCCCCCGCUAACGCAUUUAAGUUAUUCCGCCUGGGGAGUACGGUCGCAAGAUUAAAACUCAAAGGAAUUGACGGGGACCCGCACAAGCAGCGGAGCAUGUGGUUUAAUUCGAAGCAACGCGAAGAACCUUACCUAGACUUGACAUGUCCUGAAUUACCAGUAAUGUGGGAAGUCCCUUCGGGGACAGGAACACAGGUGGUGCAUGGUUGUCGUCAGCUCGUGUCGUGAGAUGUUGGGUUAAGUCCCG